rnacentral:rRNA from 16 species
GGAUGUGAUCAUACCAGCACUAAAGCACCGGAUUCCAUCAGAACUCCGAAGUUAAGCGUGCUUGGGCUAGAGUAGUACUAGGAUGGGUGACCUCCUGGGAAGUCCUCAUGUUGCAUUCC